rnacentral:misc_RNA from 1 species
GAUGAAGAACGUAGCGAAAUGCGAUAAGUAAUGUGAAUUGCAGAAUUCAGUGAAUCAUCGAAUCUUUGAACGCACAUUGCGCCCUGUGGUAUUCCGCAGGGCAUGCCUGUUCGAGCGUCAUUUCAACCCUCAAGCCCCGCUUGGUGUUGGGCCCCGCCCGCCGUGGCCGGCCCUAAAGACAGUGGCGGCGCCGCCUGGCCCUCAGCGUAGUACAGCUCUCGCUCCAGGGUCCGGCGGCCGCCUGCCAGAACCCCCCAACUCUGUGGUUGACCUCGGAUCAGGUAGGGAUACCCGCUGAACUUAAGCAUAUCAAUAAGCGGAGGA